AAUUCACUCUGCAUGAAAUCUGAACAAUAUUCAGGAAAUACUCUAACUCUCAGCAAAGCCUGUUGUUUCUAAGCAGAGCCAGUCUGGUCUUAUCCACGCUGAGGAGCAAAUGGGAUUGACAGGCAUGUAACAGAAUUGAGACAGAAAGUGUGAAACUGUGUUUGAAAGCAGAGAGACGCUUAGAGAUAACCUUAGCUCAGUUGUGCCUGACAAAAGAGGAGGAAAUAAAGGGAGUUCCUUAAAGGAAUUCGUUAUCAUAUGCAUUUAGAAAAGGCAGCAGGCACCUGAGGAGGCCAAGGGAAACCUAAAUAAAACUAUAUUGAAAGCUAGGCUUCUGUGCCAUACACCAAAAAUGUAGCACAGAUCGUUAAGCAGAGCCCACUUGGCUGGGUGAUGCUGAACAAAAGCCAUCAGCAUGGCAGCAAAUGACACCUGCUUUGCAUCCCUCAUUCAGGUGAAUAAAUGAGGGCAAGGAGCCAGUGCGGAGCCAUGUGAGCUGUGGAAGGAAGGUCCAGAGAGCUGAACGCAACCCUCGUGAAAUAACUGGCUGAGCAGACUCAGCCCUGACUUCGGGCAGGACAUCACUCAGCUGAAAACUGAAGAUUUACCAAGUCUUUUGUUCUUGGCAUCUGGUAAUACCACCCCCUACUCACUGCAUGGAAAGGGCAUGGCAACAGUUUGUGAAGACUAAUAAACAAGAUCUGUUUUGGGAGUGAUCAUAACCUGAUUUAAUAUAGAGCAAUCAGGCUGCAAGUGUUUACAUGGUAGACUGGAAAGGAGCUCUUUGUCUUUCUGUAUUUGUGUGUGCAUAUGUGAACAGCAUGGAACGAUGUAACUGGCACAUUAAAGAGAAGGCUUUAUCUGCAGAAGGUAAACCCUUGGGGAAGACCUCAUCAAUAUGAUGUAAAAACAAACCAGCUGCCAGUUAAGUUGUUUGUUUUCUUGCAGCACCGCUUCACUGAUCUGCCCACUUGAGUUGUAGCAUUCCAGGACCAAACUGUCUUUCAUGACACGAUUACUCAGUUGCUCUGAAACUUGUCAUGCUGUAAGGAAUGGGAGGAUUUCUUUAUCCUAGUCUACAUUUCAUAGUCCUUACACAUGGAAAAUUCUGAUGUUAUAGUGACAGACCUUGAAUUAAAUACCUGGGUAGAUGCAUGCUGAUGGCCAAAGCUGCUAUGGAGACACAUAUUUUGGAAGAAUACUUUUAGUGCUGUAGUCCUUUCUCACUCACUUUUGCAUAUUUUAACUCAUUUCUGGCCAAUGUAGGAA
rnacentral:lncRNA from 1 species